rnacentral:tRNA from 1 species
GCCCCGAUGAGAGCCAGUGGUCUAGUGUGCGGGCUUCAACCCCGUAGCUGAUGAGAAUCUGAGUGGUUCGAUUGUACCUUCUGGGCG